AACACUGUUAACCUGCGGUACCUGCGGAGGGAUCAUUACAGAGUUGCAAAACUCCCUAAACCAUUGUGAACGUUACCUAAACCGUUACUUCGGCGGGCGGCCCGGGUCCUUCCCGGCGCCCAUCGGCCCUCGCGGGCGCCCGCCGGAGGUAAACCAAACUAUUGCAUUGUAUGGCCUCUCUGAGUCUUCUGUACUGAAUAAGUCAAAACUUUCAACAACGGAUCUCAGAUCGGAAGAGCA
rnacentral:misc_RNA from 1 species